rnacentral:rRNA from 1 species
GUGAGGAAUAUUGGUCAAUGGUCGCAAGACUGAACCAGCCAUGCCGCGUGCAGGAAGACGGUCCUAUGGAUUGUAAACUGCUUUUAUACAGGAAGAAACCCUCCCACGUGUGGGAGCUUGACGGUACUGUAGGAAUAAGGAUCGGCUAACUCCGUGCCAGCAGCCGCGGUAAUACGGAGGAUCCAAGCGUUAUCCGGAAUCAUUGGGUUUAAAGGGUCCGUAGGCGGUCGUAUAAGUCAGUGGUGAAAGCCCAUCGCUCAACGAUGGAACUGCCAUUGAUACUGUAGGACUUGAAUGCUUAGGAAGUAACUAGAAUAUGUAGUGUAGCGGUGAAAUGCUUAGAUAUUACAUGGAAUACCAAUUGCGAAGGCAGGUUACUACUAAGUGAUUGACGCUGAUGGACGAAAGCGUGGGGAGCGAACAGGAUUAGAAACCCGAGUAGUCC